GAGGGUGUGGCUCCCUAGUAGAGUGCUUGCCUAGCAAGCAUGAGACCCUGGGUUUGAUUCCCAGCACUCA
rnacentral:tRNA from 1 species